rnacentral:lncRNA from 1 species
CCACAUUUGUCUAAACACCCCUCAAAUGAACAAUGAGUAUCGCAAUCUUAUUUAGAUAUGCAUUUACGCGUCUAGAUACAUGCAACGCUAGUGGGCGGGCGGAAGGAAGAGAGAAAAGUCACCUUGCAAAGAACGGAGAAGAGUUUUUUUAGGAAAAAAAAACUGGAGAAGAGAUUAUUUUUUUAUAGCAAAAACGGGAACGCCAUCGGCGCGUGUGAAGCGGCCCAUGCACAAGCAUCUAACGGCCCAAAACUAUCCAUAGUUUCGCUGGGCCGAAGAGGUCGCUCUGCCAUUCAGAGCUUCUUGCUUGCCGCUCUGGGCAUGCCUGUGAGGCCUCUCUUAUGUUCUGUGAUCUGGAGUCGUGGCCCAAUCCAUCGACCCCCACCAUCCUGUCGUGUCUUGUCCUGGCCGAAAAUCAGGGUGGAGCUUUCAGAUUUUUCCAAAAGAGGGGAUUGGUUUCACCGGUAUCGAUACGGAAACUACUGUAAAAAUACCGUAGAGGAAAAUCAACGUAAAGCAGUAGGCAGUAGCUUCUAGGUGCAGUGCAAAUUUGUGGAAAAAAGAUGGUGUACAACAAAGUAUAAAAAUAAAGUGAAGGAUGAAAAAAAAAAUGACGUCAAAAGAUAUAUCUAACCAACGGUGAAACCAGAUUUUGAUUCGGGU